rnacentral:rRNA from 1 species
AGCUCCAAUAGCGUAUAUUAAAGUUGUUGCAGUUAAAAAGCUCGUAGUUGGAUCUCAGGUGCAGGCGGGCGGUCCGGCUCGCGCCGGUUCACUGCCCGUAUUUCCUGCCCUACCGUCUGCCGGCUCUCUCCCGCGGGUGCUCUUCGCUGAGCGUCCCGGGUGGCCGGCGCGUUUACUUUGAAAAAAUUAGAGUGUUCAAAGCAGGCCUCGGCUGCCUGAAUAAUGGUGCAUGGAAUAAUGGAAUAGGACCUCGGUUCUAUUUUGUUGGUUUUCGGAACUGGAGGUAAUGAUUAACAGGGACAAACGGGGGCAUUCGUAUUGCGGCGUUAGAGGUGAAAUUCUUGGAUCGCCGCAAGACGAGCUACUGCGAAAGCAUUUGUCAAGAAUGUUUUCA